rnacentral:rRNA from 1 species
UACGUAGGGUGCAGGCGUUAAUCGGAAUUACUGGGCGUAAAGCGUGCGCAGGCGGUUCGUUGUGUCGGCGGGGAAAGCCCAGGGCUCAACCCUGGAAUUGCCUUUAAUACUGUCGACCUUGAGUAUGGCAGAGGUGUGUGGAACUCCGAGUGUAGAGGUGAAAUUCGUAGAUAUUCGGAAGAACACCAGUGGCGAAGGCGACACACUGGGCCAUUACUGACGCUGAGGCGCGAAAGCGUGGGGAGCAAACAGG